GAGUAAAGUGGCGCACGGGUGAGUAACACGUGAAUCAUCUACCUCCGAGUGGGGAAUAACCUAUUUGACCUCUGGGCUAAUANCGCAUAACACUUACGAGUCAAAGCAGCAAUGCGCUUGGAGAGGAGUUCGCGGCCGAUUAGUUAGUUGGCGGGGUAAUGGCCCACCAAGACGAUGAUCGGUAUCCGGCCUGAGAGGGCGCACGGACACACUGGUGACUGAAACACGGUCCAGACUCCUACGGGAGGCANCAGUGGGGAAUUUUGCGCAAUGGGGGAAACCCUGACGCAGCAACGCCGCGUGGAGGAUGAAAUCCCUUGGGAUGUAAGCUCCUUUCGAUCGGGACGAUUAUGACGGUACCGGAAGAAGAAGCCCCGGCUAACUUCGAGCCA
rnacentral:rRNA from 1 species